UCGUAACAAGGUUUCCGUAGGUGAACCUGCGGAAGGAUCAUUAUCGAGUUUUGAAACGGGUUGUAGCUGGCCUCUCCGGAGGCAUGUGCACGCCCUGCUCAUCCACUCUACACCUGUGCACUUACUGUGGGUAUCGGAAGGCGUCGCGUCGUUUACGGCGAGGCGUUAACCGUGCCUACGUCUUACUACAAACGCUUCAGUAUCAGAAUGUGUAUUGCGAUGUAACGCAUCUAUAUACAACUUUCAGCAACGGAUCUCUUGGCUCUCGCAUCGAUGAAGAACGCAGCGAAAUGCGAUAAGUAAUGUGAAUUGCAGAAUUCAGUGAAUCAUCGAAUCUUUGAACGCACCUUGCGCUCCUUGGUAUUCCGAGGAGCAUGCCUGUUUGAGUGUCAUGAAAUUCUCAAACCCAUAAGUCUUUGCGGGCUUACGGGCUUUGGACUUGGAGGCUUUGUCGGCGACCGCGAGGUCUGUCGACUCCUCUCAAAUGCAUUAGCUUGAUUCCUUGCGGAUCGGCUCUCGGUGUGAUAAUUGUCUACGCCGUGACCGUGAAGCGUUUUGGCGAGCUUCUAAUCGUCUCUUACGAGACAGUUUACAUUGACCUCUGACCUCAAAUCAGGUAGGACUACCCGCUGAACUUAAGCAUAUCA
rnacentral:misc_RNA from 1 species